GUGGGGAAUAUUAGACAAUGGGGGGAACCCUGAUCCAGCCAUGCCGCGUGUGUGAAGAAGGCCUUUUGGUUGUAAAGCACUUUAAGCGAGGAGGAGGCUACCGAGAUUAAUACUCUUGGAUAGUGGACGUUACUCGCAGAAUAAGCACCGGCUAACUCUGUGCCAGCAGCCGCGGUAAUACAGAGGGUGCAAGCGUUAAUCGGAUUUACUGGGCGUAAAGCGCGCGUAGGUGGCCAAUUAAGUCAAAUGUGAAAUCCCCGAGCUUAACUUGGGAAUUGCAUUCGAUACUGGUUGGCUAGAGUAUGGGAGAGGAUGGUAGAAUUCCAGGUGUAGCGGUGAAAUGCGUAGAGAUCUGGAGGAAUACCGAUGGCGAAGGCAGCCAUCUGGCCUAAUACUGACACUGAGGUGCGAAAGCAUGGGGAGCAAACAGGAUUAGAAACCCUGGUAGUCC
rnacentral:rRNA from 1 species